rnacentral:rRNA from 1 species
AUGGCCGCGGCUCGGCAGGUGGAGGACGCCGUCAUGGCGAGGCUCCGGGCCUGCGCCACCUUCCGCGACCUCCUCCGCGUCCACGCCCACGUCGUGCAGCUGUCCCUCUCGCAGAGCAGCUACAUCGCCACCCAGAUCGUCCAGCUCUGCAACGCCCACGGCCGCACCGCGCACGCCGCGCGGGUGUUCGCCCAGGUGCACGAGCCCAACCUACACCUGCACAACGCCAUGAUCAAGGCCUACGCCCAGAACCACCUGCACCGGGAGGCGGUCGCGGUGUACGUUCGCAUGCUGAGGUGCCGCCCAUUUCCGUCGACUGGUUGCCCCGGCGGCGACCGGUUCACGUACCCGUUCCUGCUCAAGGCUUGCGGCGGCCUGGCGGCCCUCGAACUGGGCAAGCAGGUGCACGCGCACGUGGUGAGGUCCGGGUGCGAGUGCAACGCCGUCGUGGAGAACUCCAUGAUCGAGAUGUACACGCGCGCCGGCGAUCUGUCGCUCGCGCGCAAGGUGUUCGACGGAAUGCAGGAGAGGGAUGCGGUCACUUGGAACACGGUUAUAUCGGCGCACGCGAGGCUGGGUCAGAUGAGGAAAGCGAGGGCGUUAUUCAACUCCAUGCCUGAGAAGACCAUCGUUUCCUGGACUGCAAUGGUGUCCGGGUACACGGCAGCGGGGGACUUCUCGGGCGCCGUCGAGGCGUUCCGGUUGAUGCAAAUGGAAGGCUUUGAGCCGGACGACGUGAGCAUCGUCGCGGUGUUGCCGGCGUGCGCCCAGCUCGGAGCCCUGGAGCUAGGCAGGUGGAUAUACGCCUACUGUAACAGGCACCGAAUGCUGCGCAAGACAUACGUAUGCAAUGCGCUGAUGGAGAUGUACGCGAAGUGCGGAUGCAUCGACCAAGCACUCCAGCUGUUCGACGGUAUGGACGAGAAGGAUGUCAUCUCGUGGAGCACGAUGAUCAGCGGCCUUGCGGCGCAUGGGAGAGCAAAGGAGGCGGUCCUGUUGUUCGUGGAUAUGGAGAGGGAGGGGAAGGUGAGGCCCAACGGCAUCACAUUUGUCGGGCUCCUGUCAGCCUGCUCCCACGCCGGGCUCCUGGACGAAGGGCUGGACUACUUCGACCGCAUGAAGGACGCUUAUGGCAUCGAACCUGGCGUCGAGCACUAUGGCUGCAUCGUCGACCUCCUCGGUCGGUCAGGACAAAUCGUGCGUGCUCUCAAUCUCAUACUGGACAUGCCAUUUCCUGCCGAUGCGAAGAUAUGGGGCUCAAUGCUCAGCGCAUGCCGAAGCCACGGCGAUGUCGACACGGCCGUGGUGGCUGCCGAGCGGCUCGUCGCGCUGGAACCAGACGACGUCGGCAACCUAGUCAUGCUGGCCAACGUGUACGCCGCGGCGAGGCGGUGGAGCGAGGUCGCGAGCACGAGGAAGUCAAUAAGGAGCAGGAGCAUGAAGAAGACCCCGGGGUGCAGCCUGAUCGAGGUGGACAACGUGGUGCAGGAGUUCGUCGCUGGAGAGGACCUGAAACCUGAAUUUGGAGGCAUUGUUGGCGUUCUGAACAUCCUGGCCUCGCAGCUUGCAGAAGAGGGUGUAGAUUCCAUCGAUUCAGAUUGUUUUGUUGAUGCAAAUAUGUCUGCUAUUGUGUUCUGA